GCCCCGGCUCUGCGUAGAGCGAAGGGAGGCCGAGACGGGAGCCCCAGGCACUCCCAGAGCCCGGGAGGCGGAGAGGAGACGGGCUGGGGCCCCGAGACGGCGGUGAUUGACGGGGCGGACGCCCAAAGAGCAGAGGAGGAGGAGACCCCGAAGAAGGGGGGCUGGGUGGGGGCCCUGGAAGAAAAGAGGAGGACCGAGGUGGGGAAGGAGGGGAGUAGAAGGGAAGGCGGAGGACCGUUUAGGGGGAUGCCUUUCUGGAAAGGAAAAGAGGGGGACAGAGGAGCCUUCAAGAGGAAGAAGUGUGAGACACCCCCUUUUUUUCUUUAAAUAAGAGGCGUCCCAACAUCCUCGCCCAGGCCUCGCCAGGUGCUCCAGCUCCGGCUGGGUCACCGCGUUGCUCGGAAGGUCGCAGCUGACAGACAGAGAUACUAUAACCCAGGAGGAGGUUCGGGUUCCUGGUCGCUUUCUGCCUGAGAAGCCAGCGCUAAGUUCCGGCAUGAUGGCCUUAGAAAGUGGGUUGGAGGAGCUCCUGUUUUUUGCUUCUUUGUCGGAACACCCCGAGAAAACACGUGGUGCUGGUCCUUCGGAAGAAACGAGCAGUAGAAGGUUGGGGUGCAUUGGAAGGGGAGUGGUCAGGGACAUCCCUGAAGUUUCUAGAGUUUGAAAAGCCUCAUUUCUUUGCCUGGCUUGUUCUUUGAGCGUCCAUUCCGCCCUUUCCCACACGACUGCACGCUCCCAGUGACGUGAUCAAUGCCAAGACCCAAGGAGUCACAGAUCACACUAAAACCUCUAGGCCUCAUAGUUAACACCACUGUCAGCUUUCUAAGCGGAGAGGCAGAUAUUCUGGGGAGUUCGGAGCCUCAGCUUUGGUUUCUGACUUUGCCGGUUGUUUAUGGGUAAGGUACAUAUUUGUUUAUUUAAAGAUUCAGCAUGAUUUCCCGAACUUCCCCUGUGCUCCAGAAUGCCCCCUUUUGGGUAAGUACGGGGAGAGUGGAGCCCUGUGGCUUUCUCUAAGACUUUAUCUCCCUGAUCCCCGUCCUCUUGAGUUGAGGACAGAAGACUGCCCAAGUAGGUGCUAAGCCAGCACCAGAACAAGUUCCUGCAGAAAUCCAGAUGUCAUCUUUGUGGACUUCCUCUGUGGGCAGAUCCUAGUGUAUCUAGGCUACACUAUCUAAAGAUCCAUGAUAAGGGCUUUGCCCUCUAGAGAGCUUUGAGGGUCCCAGGAGACCUGGGAACUAUAUUGCCCAGAUUGUCAGGAUCCAUACUUGCUGCUAAGGGUGGACCAGAGUUAAAAGGAUUCAGCUGACCAGAAGAUCCUCGCUCUUGUCACAGACAGAUAAAAGAAGGCCAGGAAAGAAAAGAAAUACAUUGGUUGGGUGUUAGGCCAGUUAGUCACUUCCUGGUUUAAGACUCUGGACCCAUUUCACCAUUAGCUGAGGCCUCAGUGAUCUCCCUAAUCCCCCUCAGAGCUGGACUGCAGUAGCUUUGAGAGUAUUAACGUUGCCAAGAAUGAUCACUCCAACCCUAACCCUGGUUUGACCACAAACCUGUUCCUUGUUGGGCCCUUGAGGCUUUAAGUUGAUGGAGCUCCUCUCAUGACUGGGUCCUGACAAUGCUCAUGACGGGAAGAUUUUCUGAGUCCUGGAGCCCCACAAUUCUGAACCUCCCCUUGCUGCCUUCUUUGUGGCCCCCAAGCCACCAAUCCUGCCUGGAGCCUCCAGGCAACAGUCUGCAGCAGGCAGAGCAGAGCGGAUGAGGGGCUUGCCACCCAGGGUGUCCAGUGAAAAGCCAUUACUCAUUAAGCAUAGAAAACCUGUAGCCCCAUAACCCAAUGCAGGGGUGUGAUAUGAUACUAGCUAACCCGUCCUACCUUUGUCACAAACCAGUUCUAGCAGGUUUGGGCCAGAACCUCUUGGCAGCUGGGGGCUGCCUGGAUGCCUGCCCUAAAAAGGUUAGAAUCUCAGCUAGGGUCUCUUUGCACGCAGCAGUCUCUGUCUGGCCCCUCCCUCUCAGAAUUCGCACCAGGACAAAGCCUAGGCUGUCUGGGUGGGGAUUUGAUGGACACCAGUGCAACACUCAGACAAGCUCUGCCCUGGGCUCCAGCACGGUGAGCAGCUGCUUGAGAGGCCUGUAGUGCCAAGUACUUAGGAUCUCUACUUGACACCGGCUUUCAGCCUGGCCUCGCACCCCCCACAAGCGCUUGCUUUAGAAGUUCACCAUGGGCAGAGUGCUUUAUGACCAGGAUGGAGGAAACUUUUGUAAACGUUUGGGAAUGUACGUUUCAUUGAAAUGUCUCCUUGCACUCCCAGUUGCGCUGCGAAGUUCCCUGGGAGCAUCGGACUUUCUGGAUGACACUAAUGAGUUCAGGAGCUCAUGUCGACAGGAUUUCUUUGGCCCAGACUUUUGGGCUGAAACGGUCUACGGGCCUUGUGCCUGGAGAUUGACAGGAAACUCGUAGGAUGGGGCCUGAAGGCCACCACUGACUGCACGCAUUGACCGGCAGACAUCUGGCACACCGCAAUCCCGUACAGCCUAUGGGUCUCCCAAUGGAUUUCUGCGCUUGGGCUGGGGCUAUUCGAAGUGAAUCGGGGUGGGGGGGGCGGGAAGACUUGCUGCUUAUAUCCAAGGCCAGCGGACCAAGAGACCUUCGCUCCGGGGAAAGCUUGUAACUCAAUAAAGAAAAAAAGGGAGUUCUCCGCAGGAAAUCAGAGAAGCAGAGCGUGUGCGCGUGUGCGCGCGUGCUAAUCUUUAUUUUUCCCAGCCUGUAAAGACUGCAGAAAUCUCCCGGACUGACUCAAACUCUGUAGCUCCCUGCUUAAUCUGUGAUGCUCUGCACCCGAGGCUCAGAGAAGGGACGUCUGAGUUGUUGCAGGUCACGGUGCAGCACUGGACAUUCUUUCUCUGCCACCAACUUUCCCCAAUCUUCUUGGGCCUGAGCAGUGCGUUUCGUUGAAAGCGGGCCAGCAGUCUAAGCGGGCGUGCAUUGCAGCCCUCUGCGCCUCACCUAUGGUAGCUUAUGGUAGCCGCCAGGUCUGCUGUGUCCCCCACAAGUGCUACAAGCGUUUGCAAAAUCUGUCACCCCUCAGUUUUCUGUGUUGCCCAAUGUGUAAGAACACGUCAGAUGCUGGUUUACAGCUCGUGCCAGUUCUCAAGUUUGCAGGGCCCUGGGCUCCGUGACUUCACUCUGAAAAGGGUGUAAACAGUAUUGUCGCCUGCGCUGCACGUGGCUAUGGGUGUGACAAGCCCCAUGGGUCAGAGCAGCACGGAUCCCAGGGCGUCUUUCUGUCGCUCUGACCUGCGAGCCUUUAGCCUGAGACCCACCAGGCAGUCUGGAAGACUGACUUUAGAAAACGGUUUGGGGACCGCGGCCAUACCCGGGAUCUUGUGCGAACGAAAAGAGAGAGCACCGGGCUCCAAGAGCGUUUGGAGGCCCUUAAAGCAGAUGAUCCGCCUGGGAGGUGCCAGUGGCAGGUGGUGUUUUAGGCGACUAAAAACGCCUGGCCACUUUCCUGCGGUGACCGGCCCGGUCUCUCCCGUGAUUGCUGCUCAGGCCCGGUGCGCCUUUGGACACCGCUGCACCCCGUGCGGGGCCUCUUCGGAUGGAGGUGGGGGACGCGGGCGCAGGGGGCCCAGCAUCCGGAGAAGGGCCGGUUCAUGGAAUUUUCAGGAAACUGCUGAAAUCGACCCCGCCGUGGUUUUUCCGCGGGACAGUAGAGUGACUGUGCGUUCCUGGGCAGUUUGUUGUAGACACAAUGUGCGAGCGCCGCCACGCGUUAAGUCCCCAAGUUCAGGUCUAAAGGUGAAUUUACUCAGUUUCCCCUAGGCCUCUAGAGCAAGAGGGAGAAAGCUCCCUGACAGAUCGCUAGCUCCUCCGAGGCUGUCCUCACAGCACCCCCAUCCACACACACACACACACACACACACACACACACACACACACACACACACACGGGUUACCAGAUAGGUGUGGUCACAAGAUCCCGCGAGGUUUUUUUCUUUCCUUCUGUGUUCCCCCUGAAGGGUCUGGGCUCCUAGGACUUGCUUAAAUGGAUGCCUGAAUGACCACAGGGAUUUGACUGGCAGCAACAACUGGGAAGUCAUUAGGCCAGUCAAUGACUUCCUCCUCCCUUCUGCUCGACAAUCCUAGCACAUUCUUUAGAACUUCCAUUUUGUUUGUAGAGAAAAAUCCUACAGAGCCGAGUGCUCUCCUCCAGCAUGCAGACGAGGGAGUUGAAGUCUCAUGGCACAGGAAACCACAGACUGAAAACACAGGGGUUCACUGCUUCCAACAGCAGCACAGUCUCUCUGGUCACAGGGACGUUUUCUGAGUUAUUCUGAUUUGGGGUGGUGAUGGCGGUGAUGCAAUCUUUAGUUGUGUUUUCUCACUUUACAAAAAUUCUCUAUAGAGAAAAGUUAGAUCAAAUUUCCUGGAAGAAGUGAGUCCCUCUUCCUCUUCCUUUUCUCCUCUUCCUCUUCUUUCAUUACCUGUGAGAAACUCUCUGGGGGUAGGGGUUCCUUGCUUGGCACUUCUCUCUUAUGUGGUAUCUAGUUUGUAUUACCAGUACCCAUAAUGCAUCAGCCCCACCCCUCCCCCAAGGUAGUGACCUAAGCCAUUGGCAACCUCCAUUGGGUAGCACCUGGAUGAGGCCCGCCAGCAACUCAGGGCUUCCUACCGAGCUCUGCACUUUGAAGGAGACCUGGAAAAGGCUAACAUUGUUCUUACCUUGGAAACCCAAUACCUUGUUGUCAUUUUGAAUUAAGACUAAAAUCCCCAGGCCGAUUCUUAUGGGAUGAUGUGCACUAAUUGAUUUAUGCAGAGUGCUGUAAGAACACUUUAAUGAAGUAGGUAGAAACAAGAUAUGGGAGAGCAGAUAGCACAGGGACACCCAGUGCAUGAGACUGCUGCAGAGGGAACUGGUCAAAACCAGCCUUAAACGAAUGUCUUCUAUUAGCAUGGUGGCACUCUGGUUUGUGGUGACAGGCACAGCUGGUCCUUUUGCAGUAACUGUCUCCAUCCAACCAUUCUAAUAGACCUGCACCGUCAGCAUGUGCUCACACGCGGAGAAUGCAAGGGGCCUGGAGCAGGAGUCAUGGGCUUUGGGACCAGGCAGCUAUGGGUCCUUGAUUCACAGGCACCGCUUCAGUGAGUUACUGAAGCCUGGAGCUUUAUUUUGCUCAUCUGUAAAAUGGCGUUAGGAGCCCAACAGCAAGCAUUCAACAGUUGUUUGGUAAGUUGAAUGCAAUUUCUAAGCUCAGUAAGGAUCUUAGUAGGUGCUUAAUAAUUGAGUCUGUCAUCACGAGGGCUAUGUCUGUGAAAGUGUGGAGUUCCAUGUAAUACGUGGAUCUCAGCCUCUGAACAUCCUUAGUUUUCUUUUCUUUUCUUUUAAGAUUUAUUCAUUUUGUGUAUGUGAAUACACUAUUGCUGUCUUCAGACACACCAGAAGAGGGUGUUGGAUCUCAUUACAAUGGAUGUGAGCCACCAUGUGGCUGCUGGGAAUUGAACUCAGGUCCUCUGGAAGAGCAGUCGGUGCUCUUAACCGCUGAGCCAUCUCUCCAGCCCACAUCCUUAGUUUUCAAUGACAACUGAAAGUUGAAAGUAUUACAGAGUGCAUGUAGUGCCCCUGGAGUCCAGAAGAGGGAGUCAGGAAUUCUGGAACUGAAAGUAUGGAUGUUUGUGGGUGCUGGGAACUGGACCCCCAUCCUCAACAAGCACAGCAGUGCUCUUAAACACCAAGUCAUCUUUUAGCUUCACAUAGGUAAUUUUGGAAAUAAGGAGCUCACCUGUUCUGUGGCGCACACUCUUCCUCACCUUGUGGUGAAAUCUGCCGCUGUCCUGCCGCGCUCCACCUGGGUGAGAACCGCCUCUUUGUUCAGCGCAUGCACAGUUCGGCCUCAAGUCAUCCAGUAACUCUCCACUACCUGAGCUUCUGAUUCUGUAGAACGUUUGCUCAAGCAGCCCUUACUUGUGCCCUGAAGCAGAGGAAUAAUGAUGACAGCCAUUUAUCUACUUAUCUUACACUUGUUUCAUGCUAUUAUGUCAUUGUUGUUAACCUGGUAUUGUAUAUAAAUAAAUUAAGCUUUAUUGUAGUGUGUA